rnacentral:rRNA from 1 species
AGCGAACGCUGGCGGCAGGCUUAACACAUGCAAGUCGAGCGGGCCCUUCGGGGUCAGCGGCAGACGGGUGAGUAACACGUGGGAACGUACCCUUUGGUUCGGAAUAACGCUGGGAAACUAGCGCUAAUACCGGAUACGCCCUUUUGGGGAAAGGCUUGCUGCCGAAGGAUCGGCCCGCGUCUGAUUAGCUAGUUGGUGGGGUAAUGGCCUACCAAGGCGACGAUCAGUAGCUGGUCUGAGAGGAUGAUCAGCCACACUGGGACUGAGACACGGCCCAGACUCCUACGGGAGGCAGCAGUGGGGAAUAUUGGACAAUGGGCGCAAGCCUGAUCCAGCCAUGACGCGUGAGUGAUGAAGGCCUUAGGGUUGUAAAGCUCUUUUGUCCGGGACGAUAAUGACGGUACCGGAAGAAUAAGCCCCGGCUAACUUCGUG